rnacentral:tRNA from 1 species
GGACCUUUAGCUCAGUUGGUUAGAGCAGACGGCUCAUAACCGUCCAGUCCGGCUGAAGGGAACGGUCUUGAAAACCGUCAGGCGGGUAAAACCGUGCAAGGGUUCGAAUCCCUUAUCCU